rnacentral:lncRNA from 1 species
CCCCAUGCCUCACUUCCCUGAUCUAUAGGCUGCCCCUCAUGCCUCACUUCCCUGAUCUAUAGGCUGCCCCCACGCCUCACUUUCCUGAUCUAUAGGCUAUUUCCCCCCUAUGCCUCACUUCCCUGAUCUAUAGGCUGCCCCAUGCCUCACUUCCCUGAUCUAUAGGCUGCCCCCAUGCCUCACUUCCCUGAUCUAUAGGCU